CCUGAGUGAGGUAACCCAGUCACAAAAAGACAAGCAUGUUUGGAAGAAAAAUUUGAGCCUCAGAAUCAGCUCUGUCCACAGACACAGCCGCCUUGCUCAGAGAUGGCAAUCACACCUGACAGAGCCUGCUGGUACAAGCCGUUCACCUACUGCUUGGGGUGGAAGCAAAAGAAUCGGAACUUGAAGAUCAUUCUUCUUGCCCCAGAUAAGUGCCAGCUUCUGGUGUUGGAAGAAUGCAGCUGACCUCAUAGACACAUUUCUGUGCGGGCAGUUAUACUUUGAAGAUGAUAAAAAGUCCAGAGAAAAUACCUCCCCUCUGUGAUAGCAAGAGGCACUUUAUGUACAAAAGGCAAUGGUUUGGAACAGAGUCAGGCUCUAGAAAGCAAGACUGUAGUUUCUCAUCAUAAACACAUUAUUCCUGUUUAAUCGAAUGAGAAUAGCGGAGAUGGGGGAGGCUUUGAAAGUGAAAUACAUGUUCCUCAUGACUUCCCUUGUGAACAGAGGCCUCAGAUCAGCCUGCAGUGGACAUCUGAAAGAUUCAUGUUGCCCCAGUGUGAUGAAUAAUGGAACACAAUGCAUAAUUGUCAGCAAGUUCUUAGAACCUUCUCAGACCCCAGCUACCAUGCAGAAUGCAUUACCUCAGGCUCCGCAGGGUCACGAGGGAGGUAACCAAGUGUCGGGACAAGUAAAUAGAGAGUAUUGUCCCAAACCCCUGUCGUUAUGGCAACCCUCUAGAAAUGCCGGGAUUUCAUCUUCGCGUCUGCUUUCCCUGAUCUGUGGGGAAAGAACAAAUGGCCUCUGCAAACAGAAACCCUGGUUAGCUUCUAACUUUACAGUCCCACUGUAGACCUGUACACAGUCGACUGUUUUUGUUUCUUUUUUUGGUGUGUCUAUAGCAA